CCUCGUUAAGUCAGGCAACGAGCGAGACCCACGCCCACAGUUGCCAGCGUACGUCUCUGGAGUGACGGGUACACUGUGGGGACCGCCGCUGCUAAAGCGGAGGAAGGAAUGGGCAACGGUAGGUCAGUAUGCCCCGAAUAUCCCGGGCUACACGCGAGCUACAAUGGUUGGUACAAUGGGUAUCUACCCCGAAAGGGGACGGGAAUCUCCUAAAACCAAUCUUAGUUCGGAUUGAGGGCUGCAACUCGCCCUCAUGAAGCUGGAAUCCGUAGUAAUCGCGUUUCAACAGAACGCGGUGAAUGCGUCCCUGCUCCUU
rnacentral:rRNA from 1 species